rnacentral:rRNA from 1 species
AACGAACGCUGGCGGCAGGCCUAACACAUGCAAGUCGAACGCGCGUAGCAAUACGCGAGUGGCGCACGGGUGAGUAAUACGUGGGAAUCAACCCUGAGGUUCGGAAUAACCGCGGGAAACUGCGGCUAAUACCGGAUGUCCCCUACGGGGGAAAGAUUUAUCGCCUUGGGACGAGCCCACGUCCGAUUAGCUAGUUGGUGAGGUAACGGCUCACCAAGGCUACGAUCGGUAGCUGGUCUGAGAGGACGACCAGCCACACUGGAACUGAGACACGGUCCAGACUCCUACGGGAGGCAGCAGUGGGGAAUAUUGGGCAAUGGAGGCAACUCUGACCCAGCCAUGCCGCGUGGGUGACGAAGGUCUUCGGAUUGUAAAGCCCUUUCGGCGGGGACGAUGAUGACGGUACCCGCAGAAGAAGCCCCGGCUAACUUCGUGCCAGCCGCCGCAGUAAAAC